AUCAGUAAAAAAAAUAAAGAAAUUCAUAAAAACAAAAAAAAAAACAAAAACACUUAAAAAACUUUCUAAACAAAUAAAAAUAAUGGCUAUUGAAAGGAAAACUGUGAUUGUCUCAAUCGCCGUAUUGCUAAUGAUAGUAGCAAUGACCGUGACUGAAGUUGAUGGCAGGACUAAUUUUGGACGGAACUUAUUGGAAGGCCAAACUAAUGAGGGACGAAACUUAUAUGACAUCGUUGGUGCAGUGGUGGGUAAACAUUGCUGCAACAAAAUCAUUACUACUUGUUGUGGUCCUGCUCCUGCGCCUCAGCCUACUCGUAAACCUUAAUUAUAUAUCAUCUCUUGAUUUAUUCAUAUUUUCUUUUUUCUUUUUCUUUAAGGAGAAAUUAACUAUAUAUCUAAAUAUUCAAAUAAAUGGACCAUUGAAAAUAAUAUUGACUGGGAAUAUAUAUAUACCAAUUGUGUUAUUUUCCUAGGAGUGAAAGGUCCACAUAUUGUUUUUUCUUUCUUUUUUAGUCUAUAAUUGUGGAUAGACAAACUGUUCACAUACUUGUAUUUUUUAGUAUUAUUUUUUGAGGUGAAAAUUUAAUUUUAUAUUUAAAUAAGACAUACAUUUUCUUGGAUAAUCAAGUAUUCUCAGCCAAAAUUCAAACUAAUAAAUUACAAAAUAUCGUUGCAACAAAUAAAUGGACCAUUGAAAAUAAUAUUGAUUGGGGAUAUAUAUAUACCAAUUGUGUUAUUUUCCUAGGAGUGAAAGGUCCACAUAUUGUUUUUUUCUUUCUUUUUUAGUCUAUAAUUGUGGAUAGACAAACUGUUCACAUACUUGUAUUUUUUAGUUUUAUUUUUUGGGGUGAAAAUUUAAUUUUAUAUUUAAAUAAGACAUACAUUUUCUUGGAUAAUCAAGUAUUCUCAGCCAAAAUUCAAACUAAUAAAUUACAAAAUAUUGGAUGGUUAUGUGAAUUUUGUGAGCAUCAAUUCAUAGUGAUCAUAAAUCAUCGGAAUACCAAAAUAUAGUUUUGAUUUCUGAUUACAUAUAUGCCAUACACCAUAAACUGUAAGCCUAUCCAAACCUUAAUUCACUCAACAAAGUCUCCAACUUGAAUCUCAAUGUGGGACAUUGAAAUAUUCACACGAAACUCUCCAAUGAAAACACACACGUGUGUGUGCGUGUGUGUGAAAUCAAAUAUUUACAUGUACAUGUAUGAAGAGCAACAUUGGUAAAUACUUUAGGGUUAGAUUAAUUACUUCAUGAAAUUAUCUCUGUGCCCCACACAAGGAGUAAAACAACCAACACUACGAAUGAAGCAAGAAUAGAAGCCAAGUUUUGUCCUUAAAACUCUAAUCGCAAAACGUCUCUUGGUCGUACCUUGACGCACUUCAGAAACCCAUCGCUCGGCCGACUCGUUUAUUCCUUUCAUCGACUUCCUAAGCUUCUCUUUGAAACUGAAUCUCUCUGAUCCCAUCAAGUCGUAGCUUGCCAACACCACCCGUCUUCCGUCCCGAUAACAUUUCUGAGAGUAGCGUUCUCGCUGGUCAUGGUGUGGCAGCGAUACAUAGGCGUACAUGUACGUUUGUUCCGGCAUCAUAAAUAUAAAGCAAUGUAAUGUAAGAAGAGUGAUUUAGCGUGUAUAGCCUCUCUUAUAUGUUAGUAUGUGUAUAUAUAUGUACGAGAGAGAGAGUUGGGUGAGAUUUUGGUUGAACAAUUAUGAAAUUGCGUUUGAUAGUGGUUGGUGACUGUGUUGCACCAAAUAUGGAAUAAUGGAAUCUCAUGUUAUUUGGUCAUACGCAUGUGAUCAUUAUGUGGCCUAUUGUAAGCCGCCAUGUACUUUUUCAAUUGGUUAAAGAAAUCUUUAAAAUUUGAUUAAUAGAUCUAUAAUUAAAAAAAAAUGACUAAACUAUACAUAUUGUUUUCAAAAAGUAACUUUCCAACGUACAUUGUUCAACUUUUAUACAAAUCCCAACUGUUCAACGGUCUCUCUCCUCCUUUCAAAUCCUCUUGAAAGGAGGAGAGAGACCGUAUCUUAUAUGGAGUAUCAGAUUCAAAGAAAUAUCUCACUAUACCAUAUAUCCGAUAAAUAUGACUCAACAAAUCCUAUUUAAUACUAAAUGUACUUCGUUUGCUAGGCGCUAAGCGGGCGGUGACCCAGUGCCUAGCGCCUAGAACGCCUAAUCGGGGCCUAGACGAUUUUUUAGGCGGUUUAGACGUUUAUAACAUAAAACAUUAUCAAUAUGAUAUUAUAUAUAAAAGUUAUAUAAAAUAUCUAUAUAAAACUAAAAAUUAGAUAAAAUAUUUAUUUAUAUUUAUAUUAAACAAUAUAUGAAUAUUUAUAACUAUAUAUAUAAAUAAAACUCUAAUUAAAAUUGAAAAAAUACAUUAAACAAGAUCUAUGUAAUUUUAGGCGGUCAAUGCGGUUAUCUAGGCGUCGCAUGAGAGUCUAGCGCCUAGUCGGGGCCUAGGCGACCGCCUAGACCGCUUUUUAGAACACUGACUAUACUAUAUAUCCGAUAAAUAUGACUCAACAAAUCCUAUUUAAUACUAAAUGUACUUCGUUUGUUUGUAAACUUUCAGUCUUUCAAAUAACAUUAAUGGACAGACGAGAAAGUAGUAGAUUCGAAAGUGAAAUAAAAAUAUAUAAAAAAAAACACGGGUUUCUCGGUUGAAGUAUCGUCAACCAUUUUAGACAUCAUGCGGAGUAUUGGUUUUAUGAGGAAAAAAAAAAUAGGAAAAGAAAAGAAGAAAAUCUAAAAUCACAUUUUAUACAACCUUUUUUAAUCCUAUAUAUAUAUAUAUAUACUAGAAAUUAACCCGCGGUACACCGCGGGCCUAUAAUUUUACUAAAUAAUAAAAUUAAUUUUUCUUUUUCAGGUUGAGAGCCCGCGGUAUACCGCUGGAAAUAUUAAUUUUACAUGUUGUGACAUUGAUUUUAAUAUUGUAUAUUUUUAGUAGAGAAAAUUGUGUAGUGUAUGAAAAAAUGAUAAAUUGUUUACAAUAAAAAUCUGUCAUAUUAAUUAUGAUUUAGCGGUAAAAUGGAAUUUUGAAAUCUUGGUAAUGAAUGUUUUAGGGGUAAGGAAAAUACUAUGUUUUUAGGAAAACAUAUACUUAGACACGCCGCACGCGUUUGUAUUAAACAGAUAUCAAAACAAAAAAAAAGAAUUAAAAUCGUAGAAACAUUACAUCAUUAAUAGAAAUAGAGAAUACACAAUGAAAAUAAAAAUUAGAUUGCUCAAAAACUGAAGCAUAGAUGCUGAGAUAUCAAAACAAAAAAAAGAAUUAAAUCGUAGAAACAUAACAUCAUUAAUAGAAAAUAGAGAAUACACAAUGAAAAAUAAAAAUUAGAUUGCUCAAAAACUGAAGCAUAGAUGCUGAGAGAAGUUUGUGUGGAUGAAUGAAAAAUGAUUUGCCGAAUAGCAGAGCCUAUAUUUAUAAUGUUUAGAAUUAGGUUGCUUUAUUAGGGUUUUAAGAAAAGCAUAUUCUGCAAAAUAUUCUAUAAGUAAUUAGCGUAGAUAUGCUAUAGUUAAUCGCAUCAGAAUAUCUAAACAAAAUUAAUUUUAGUUUCUAUCGUUAACAUAUUUGAUUUGCGCUUUCGCGAUUUUUAUAAUUUUGCAGUAAACCAACUUUAUGACUUUCCAUAGUUCAAGAUCGUAGAGAAUAUUUGAUGGUUAAUCUGAUAAUUAGAAGAUUCUAUAUAUCUUAGCGAAAUUUUUUCCCUAAAUAACGAAGAAGUUACCAUAUACUUCGGAAUUGUAUUUGUUGAUUUAAUAUUCGAUUUUAAAUUGAAUAAUUUACAUAGAAGUUACCAUACAAGUCCGGUAAGGUUUCUUAUUUUUGCUGUAAAAAAUACUCAUAUAUCCGAUUAUCAUUAUUUCUAUCAAAAAUAUCCAAUUUAUUAACUACAUUUAUUUUAUAAUAAUUCAAAAUAAUAUAAAUAUAACAUCAAAUAAAAGUGAAAUGAGAAUUAUAUAAUUCUGUUUAAAUUAGGUCGAGAGAUUGUAAAAAAUUAGCUCAAAUUUGUUAAUUAGCAUUAACUCAUCAUAUUUUAUAUCUUUUUCUGUAAAAAUCGUGAAGAAUAUAUGUCAUAAAUAAAGAGUUUAGAUAUAGAAAUAGUUAAAAAUAUAGAUAUUUUUAGAGUUUAUAAAUUAAUUUCGUUUUGGAUAUUGCCAAAAUUUAAAGAAAGAUCCAAUUGAAUAUUUUUGGUCACAAAAAAAAACCUACCCAUAAAGAUUAAAAUUUAGGAUUAUAGUUAUUUCAAAUUUUAAACUAAUUUAUAUUUUAUAAUUUUCAUAAAUACGAAAAUAAUUUGUUCACCUAUAUCAGAAAAUAUAACUAAAAUAAAUUACGUAAUAUUAUAUAAAAAUUUAAAAUAAAUAACUAUUUUCAUUUUAUGGUGUAGACAAAUUAUUAUUAGUAUUUAUGUAAUUUAGUUUCAAAAAUAAUUUAGAAAAAUAACAAACAUUAAAUUUUAUAACAAAACAAAUUAUUUUCGUAAGAAUUUGUCCCCAAAUUAAUAUUUACAAAAUAUUUAUUUUAAUCACAUAUUCUUUCUAUAUAAAAAUAAGUAGUUAGAUAAUUAUGGUUAGAAGUAGUUAAGGUAAAUAACAAAUAUGGUUAGUUUAAAGAUAUCAUAUAUAUAUAUAACAAAUAAGAUUAUUUACCAUUAAAAUAGGUAACUUAUUUGUUUUAUUAUACGCAUAUUCUCUUAAAGAAAAUUAAUAAUUAGGUGUGGGGAGAAGUUAAGGAAAUUAACAAAUAUGAAUUAAUAAAGGAAUUAAUUUCGUUAUAAUAUUGCCAUAAAUUUUUUCAGUUUGAAAUUAAUAAAGGCUUCAUUUAUUAGUUUGAAAUUAAGACAACAUCCCUAAAAUUGCUUAUCCAAAAUCCGAAUAGACUAAAACCGGGUCAAACCCGGAUCCAAAAGACUUUUUGCAAAAAUCCCCUGUAAAAAUGUAUAUGUAGAUAUAAUCUACCGGUUGCGAAACCGUCUUAGUUUUAAAACUAAAAACAAUAAAGAAAAGCCCAACAAGAGUAUUACGAAAGCAUUAAGUAAAAACCAGAAAAAGAAGUAGAUGGAUGAUGCUACAUCAUCACCUAUCAAAUACCGGAUGAUGAGGUAUAGAAUCAACAGAGGUAACCCGUCAAUGGGUUCAACAGGUUGCCGCCAGAGGUGCAGAAGCAGCAUGCCAAGCAGGAAACAGACAAGCAUGAGGAUUUUGUUCUUCCAUAGCCAAGUUCCUAGAUCUGUUAAUCAAAUAACAAACCGCUUGAUCAAAAAACCAUACAUGCAUAUGUCAUCAAAAAUCUGGUGGAUCAUUACGAAUUGAAACAUUUGGAAGAUUCUCUGACCUCUCAUUCCCUUCCGGAGAAACUCGUCGACGCUUCUUGGUUGAAUCCCAUCCUACAAAUCAUAAAACAUGGUAAGAGGAAGACAAGUUCAUUCUCAAUAACUCAACUUGAUGAGCCGUAAGUAUAUAAACAUACCAGUGGUUCUAUUUCAAGAGGGUGGAGGCAAGUAAUUCCAGUCCUUAACUCUACUUGUUGAGCCGGAAGUGGGACCAAGUUCUCAACGUAAGGAGAUAUAACACAAAUGUCUUCAGGGAGCCUUUGGAGUUUGUCUUCUCUGAAAUAUACUGGAACAGCAAGUCUUCAUCGUCAUAAAAGAGAACAUCCCCUUGCUUUGAGAGAGUCAUGGGCGUGAAGGACCUAGACUCCAAGUCCACCAUACCAAGAGAAGCUAAACUAAUGGAAUGAGUCUUGCUCCAUGUAUCUUGUGGUGCAUCAUCCAUACUCCAUAUCUCUGAAGAGGAUGGGAAACGGGCAUGGCUAUGGCAAGACGAUCCCUAAUGUUGGCAAUCUGUGCUUCCAACAUGAUGCCCUUGGGAAGAGGCGGACGUGGGACAUCAUGGAACUCUUCCGUGUGAAGAUCCAAGGCGAGUAUCGUGUAGACAUGAUCAUGCCUAAUUCGUAACCAGUACACUGAUCCGUUGACACACGCCGAUUUUCUUGCGACAUCAACCUUGUAACGAUUUGGUUUCCAAAGUUUCCGCCAUUCACCAUUGUUGACGUCAAGGAUAUCGCAAUAGUUAGGAUCACGGAAGAUCCUUACUACUUUAUAGCUACCCUUAGCAUUGUCUCUACCGAAUCCCAUCGCACAAUAUCCCGGGAAAUAAGUCGUCCAUGAUUCUGAAAAUAUAUUUGGAAUAUUAUUAUUUUUAAAUCGUACAUCAUCCUACAAAUAAAGGUUGACUCACACAAAUAAAAAUAGAUUGUACCUUCCCUAAACGUGGUGGAGUUUGGUUGGGGAUUCAAGAGGGAGGGGCAAUGGAAUCGCCGGAGUUGACCCGUGGAAGGGUUCAAAACGUUGACCCACUCUGUUUCAGGGAAACAGACCAAACCCUCGUAACUCAUCGACGGUCGUGUGGCGUCGCAGUGCAAAUAGACAAACUCUAGGCCCCAUUCGCAGUCCUCAACCCCGGGGAGGAGACUCGGAGAGACGUCGCAUUCGCAGUCAUAGGCCAGUAGGAUUUUCUGGCAAGAUUUUGCAAGAAUGAGAUGUUUAUCCACGAACCACUUUGAUUCCAGUAUCGAUUUCCAUUCUUUGGACACGCUUUUGAAUCUGCCUAGAGAUUUCAGGGGAAGCUUGAGGAACAAUUCUCCAAGUAGAUGGGCACUCAAAUACAUGGAAUUAGGGUUUCCUUCUUCCAUUGAGUUUAUUGUUCUCUUCUUUUUUACCAAACAACAUUCGAUAGGGUUUCUUCUCCCUUCUUGCAUUACAGACUCUCUUCUUAAUUUUUUUUCUCUCGUUAUUUGACGUUACAAUUGGACUUUUUUAACCUACUAGUUACAUUCAAUUUUCCUUUUUCUUUCCUUUUUUUUUUAAUAGAUCUUUGAGUUUAAAAAAGAAAGAGAUAAUGACAACACGAUAACAAAAAUUCCCAAUAAAUGCUAAAAUUUACCACCAAAAACAUUAGAAAAUUCGGAAUUAUUGCAUAGAAAAAACAUUUGGACGAUUUAUUUUUAGAUAAUGAGAAGAGUAGAAUGAGGUUGCCACAUCAUCGCCGAGUCAUUUCGAAGCUUUCUUCUUUCUUUUUUUCCUCUGUUUAUACGAAUGAAAUGCUCUGUGUUCCUAAUCUUCUUCCUUGGAUCAUCCUAAUUACUCAGUGAUCAUGCAUAGAUUCCUUGUAAAGUUGUCUUCUUCAUCCUCUAAUCCAUUGAGAAGCUUGAAGAAUCAGCGUCUGAUUCUCCCUCUAUCGCCUUCUUCAAAAUCUUUUACCUCCUCUUCUGUCUCACCACCUCCAAGUCCCUCGAACGCUUCUAAUCGAUUUGGGUAUCCUUAUUCCGCCGAGUUGUUUCGAAAUUUGUCACCUUUAAGCUCAAAUUCGAGGACUUUAGGAGUGAAUGGGAUUAGUAGUAGAUGUAUCAGCAGUGAACCCGGAAGAGAAUCGAUUGAGUACGAUGUUCUGAUUGUCGGAGCUGGACCGGCCGGUUUAUCUGCUGCUAUACGAUUGAAACAACUGUCUCAGGAGAAGAACAUUGAUCUAUCUGUUUGUGUCGUUGAGAAAGGAGCAGAAGUUGGUCUGUUUUUUUUUUCUCUCUUUCUCAAAGUAUUGACUUUGCAAUUAUCAGCUCUCUUAGAUUCUUGAAAUUGGUUGUGAAUUUCUUCAAUUUGUAGGAGGACACAUUAUAUCUGGAAAUGUUUUUGAACCUGUGGCACUUGAUGAGCUUCUUCCACAUUGGAGACAAGAACAUGUUUGUCUCUCUCUCUUUCAUUAUUUCCUAAGAAUUUUCUUGUUGUUUGAGACAAGAACAUGAGCACUCUGUGUUAUUAAUAUUCAUUGUUGUUUCAUGUUCUGUGUGUUUGUAGGCACCCAUUGAGAUCCCUGCUUCUUCUGAUAAAUUCUGGUUUUUGACCAAAGAGCGUGCAAUUUCACUUCCUUCUCCGUUUGAUAACAAGGGAAACUACGUUAUUAGGUACGUGUAGAGAAAACAUUUUACUACUAUUUAUCUCAAUGGUUAAGUUUCAUUUGAGAUUUUUAGUAUUUGGUGGUGCUUGUAUAUACAGUUUGAGCCAACUGGUGCGUUGGCUAGGAGGAAAAGCUGAGGAGCUUGGAACAGAGAUAUAUCCUGGCUUUUCUGCUAGUGAGGUAAUCUCGUGCUUCUACUUGUGUUUAUAGUUAUAAUCAAUUUUGUUUGGCAUUGUGAACGUUGUUUUCAGGUGUUGUACGAUGCAAGUGAUAAAGUUGUUGGGAUUGCAACCAAAGAUAUGGGAAUAUCCAAAGAUGGUUCCAAGAAGGAGAAUUUCCAGCCAGGUGUUGACAUAAAAGGUCUCUGUCUCUUUCUCCCUCUCUCUCUUUUUCAUUUUCUAUAGGCUUCCUCUGUACCAAGAUAUGUGCUUUCAAUACACAGGGCGAGUUACACUGUUUGCAGAGGGAUGCAGAGGAUCGUUGUCAGAGGUGAGAAGAAGCGUUUUUAUUAUAAUUGCCUCCAAUCACUGCUGAUGCAAACUAAUUUGUUACUUUAAUUUGUGCAGAGAAUAAUCAAAAAGUAUAAACUAAGAGAGGAGGUUAAUGCACAACAUCAGACAUAUGCUUUGGGAAUCAAGGAGGUAAAUAAUUGUAUCAUCGUUCUAAUUGUUACUUGAAUCCAUGUUUGAUUUUGCAAAAACUUUGGUAUGAUAGUAGUUUUUUUUGUUGUGAUUUUCAUAUCAAAUAACAUCUCUACAGAAAAAGUGAUCACACAUUAUCAUAAGGGUUGAGAAUUUUCUCUCGGUAGAACUACUGGUCAUAGGUCCUUUAAUUGCUGAUACUUCGAGCUCAACAGGUCUGGGAGAUAGAUGAAAGCAAGCAUAACCCUGGAGAAGUUAUUCAUACAUUGGGUUGGCCCUUGGAUCCCAAGACAUAUGGAGGUUCUUUCUUGUACCACAUGAACGAUAGACAGGUAACUCACUUUUCCCUUGAAGGUACUUUGUUAUUGUUGAGAAAAUAUUGUAAUAUCUCCUUCCAGUGGUGUCUUAAUCAAUUACAAAACUUACCUUUCAAUUUUGGUAGCUCAGUUGGAGUUUUCUUUUCACCCGAACAGGUUGCACUUGGCUUGGUUGUUGCCUUGAAUUACCACAACCCUUUCUUGAAUCCGUAUGAGGAAUUUCAGGUAUGUCAAUUUCUCAUAAUGAUAGACUUUUUAGCAGUUACUAAAAAUACCUUUCUAAAAGCCAUCGUUUUUAUCCUCCAAAUAGAAACUCAAACACCAUCCUGCCAUUAAACGCAUCUUGGAAGGUGGUACUGUGCUUCAGUAUGGGGCUCGUACUUUAAAUGAAGGUGGUUUUCAGGUGAGUUGAAACUCACCACCCCUUAGAUCUAACUGGUGCGCAGAUUCUUUGAAAGCAGAACUAUUUCCAUUUUUGGUAUAGCCAUUUUCUAAAGCAUGUAUUAUUAUGCAUAGUUUUGUUUUAUUGAUUGAGAAAUAAGAUUUGAUCUAGUUAACCCUUCAUGACAGAAAUAAGAUUUGUUUGACAUGUUAUGACAUAUUUGAACUUGAUGCUAGUAAAAUUUCAGUCCAUUCCCUAUCCAGUUUUUCCUGGAGGAGCAAUAAUUGGAUGUUCAGCUGGUUUUCUCAAUGUACCCAAGAUUAAGGGAACACACACUGCAAUGAAAUCAGGUCACAUUAUAUUUUUGAUAGGAUACGAUUUUUCAUUGUCUCUUCAUUGAAAUCUCAUCUUAAUUUCAUCAAUAUCUUACAGGAAUGUUAGCAGCAGAGGCUGCAUUUGGUGUAAUUCAUGAAGGUUUACACAUGAACACGUACUGGGACAACUUGAGGGAUUCAUGGGUGUGGAAAGAGCUCUACGCUGCUCGAAACUACCGUCCUGUUCGUAAUAUCAUGAACAUAUAUCAGCGUAUAUGGUUUUCUAUCUGAUUGAUCUUUUCUGGAAGAUAAAAUCUUAAUGUCAUAUUCUUGCAGGCAUUCGAGUAUGGGCUACUCCCUGGCUUGGCCGUUAGUGCUAUGGAACAGUAAGACCCGGAAUUGAUUCUCUUCUUUUUGCCGUGUUCUGUGUGAUCGAUCCUCUUUGCUAUACGUGAACUGUUGAUGUUUGAUUAUGCAGCUAUGUACUGAAAGGAAAAGUCCCUUUCACGCUCAAGCAUGGGAAAGCAGACCACGAAGCAACAGAUGUAAAUAUACACGCAGUGGGAAUAAACCCUUAAUUGUUUCAAAUAUAAUCAGAUCAAAACCAUCCACUAAACACUCUGACUCUGAUAGAUACACAACUAAAGUCUAGCUACAUCUUUAUGCAGCUUGCUCGGAAAUGCACACCAAUUGUGUAUCCAAAGCCAGAUGGUGUUUUGUCGUUUGAUGUGCCAACUUCUUUAUACAGGUUUGUACCAUGACAUAAACUACAGUAUCUUUAUAUGUAAAAGUACUCCUCCUAUGGUAUUUACAAGCGGUUGUAUCCUGAAUGAUGAUGAUGAUAACAGGAGUAAUACCAAUCAUGAUCAUGAUCAACCAUCUCAUUUGCGCUUGAGGGAUCCUAAGAUUCCAGAAAAGGUAAACUUUCCAGAGUAUGCUGCACCAGAGUCACGCUACUGUCCGGCCCGUGUUUACGAGUAAUAACUCCCUUUCUCUUCCCUCUCUCUCUGUCUCCAUAUGCAAUUUGAUCAAUAGAUUAACUUCCUUAAGCAAGAUACUCAUCUUCGUUUCCGUAUUGAUUCAAAACAUAAAAAAAGAUAUAUCGAAGACGAAGAGGGUAAGCCGAAACUGCAGAUAAACGCUCAAAACUGUUUGCACUGCAAGGUACGCAUCACUCGCUGAGUCUAUACACUUUGUGUCAAAGUAUGUCUCGUUCAUGGCACUCGAUUGAUUUUGGAUAAGCUUAAAUUGAUUUUGGUUCUUUCUAAAAGGCAUGUGACAUCAAAGAUCCAAAGCAGAACAUAGAGUGGACAGUGCCUGAAGGUGGUGGAGGCCCUGCUUAUUCCCUCAUGUAGUACUCAAGUUUCAACAAACCUCUCACUUACCAUCCAUAUCUGAUAAAUAAAUGAGACUCAACAAAAUCCUAAUUGUCUUGAUUUUUUUUUUUACUAAAUGUUUGUAAGCAUUAGUGUUUCGUAUGUUUGUAAACUUUCACUUGACUUCUAUUAAAAAAAAAAACACUUUCACUUGAUAGUAAAGUAAUAAUGGGCAGACGAUAAAGUAUCAUCGUUUCAUAAGCAAACAAAAAAACUUGGGUUUCUCGAUUGAAGUGUCAUCAACAAUUUUGACAUGAUGCUGACUGCUGAGGAUUUGUUUUGAGAACAAGAAGAAAAAACUAUUUAGGAAAAGAAAAGGGGAGAAAAAUCUAGAAUCACAUUCAUUUUAUACAGCCUUUUUUAUCUAAACGCCGCAGGAGAAGCCUAACGAAGAUGAGCGUUUGGUAGCAUCUGUAGGACUGGUUCGUAAACUUGUUACUAUAGCACAAAGCCUCUCUCUUGGUCAGGCAAGUUUUAGCUCUCAAAUCACCACCUACACAAUUUCAAAACAGGGAUGAGUUAGUGACACGGCUUCUCUAAGCUUUCUUCCUUCAAUUCACUUUUCUCUAAGCUCACAAAAAGGCAAAUCACAAUUGAAUCUGUUAUGUUUUCUUAAGCGUUUUAUGGGGUUUGGUAAACGAUAUCUGAGUUUUUCUCGGAAGGCAUUUUCAAGUCCAUCAAAUUGUCUUUCUGCGAUCAGGUCAUCUUUUUAUGCUCUUUAAUGAUCGCAGUCAAGAUUCUUUGCCUCUUAUGUUUUGUAUUAAAGGAGAGUUUUGCAACGGUUGUUAUAUUUCUAUACAAGCAAUUAGAAAUCCUAACCACAAAGUAUAUUAUUAUCACAUUUACGAAAAUUUACAAAUCCAAGGUAUGCUAAAUAAGCAACCGUUCGUACACACACACACACUCCAUCAUAGCUCCAAGGGGAUUCAAGAGAAAGCAAAAUUUACAUGUGAUAAGAAUAAUAACAGAUUAGCUGUUGUGUAUACUACUAGGCUAGAUUCACUGAAGAAUCAAAGAAAGAAGUACCAAAAUAGACAUCAACAUUGAAAAUGCAAGCAACACAGAAAAAAUGUAUAUAAGUAUAUUCAACAAAGCAGUCCUAUGUUUUUUCACAAAUUUUCAUGUACCCUAUAUAAAAAAAUGCUUCAGUUUUAACUCAGAUAACUCAGCAGAAAUGCAAGAAGAUUGCAAGAAAAACGACAGAGAGCACAUGCUUUAUCAUAUGUCAACAGGAAAGGAUCAAACAAGUAUUUCAAUAAAGCUUAUGCUCAUUCCUCUCAGUCAUCAGGUAGAGGGUAGAAGAUAGAGAUGAUUACCUUGCAGAUAAUGAUGGUGAGUGGAGCUAGUUUCAAGGCCCCUGUCCAGCCGGGGUACCUGAAGACUGUUGCUGCUGCUUCUGCUGUAUCUGGAGAAGAAGGUUUGCUGCGAAUUGUAGUGUUGACUGGUAUCUCUGGUUCUUAUCGACCUCCCCAUCAUCUGUUGUACCCUGUCCAGCCCCAGAGAUCAUAGGCUGCAAUUGUGGUGCUUGGUUUUGUGGCUCUAAGUUUGCCUUGUCUACUGGUGGUUGCAUGACAGCUUGAAAUUGGGAAGGAUUUAAGUUAUGUGCCUGAUUUGUUGUUACGCCAUGAUAAUUUGCUUGCUGAUAACUUGGAAUUGGACCAUAGUUUUGGUUUGGCACGGAAGCUUCUGGUUGGUAUUGCUGUGUCAUGGGCUGAGAAACAGGAUGAUUUGUCGAACCCUGAGUGUACAUGGAAUAAUUAUUAUGAGGCAUAUUUGGUAACGGAGACAGCUGAGGUAUGUUAACAGAUUGGCCUUGGUAUUGCAUGUUGCCAUGGACCAUUCCACUAGAGUAGUUGGGGUUGUUUGAAGCUGGAGGAUAACGCGCAGGAGGAGGAGGUAGUUGCCCAGCUGGAGUGUAUUGAUUUCCGUAUUGUUGGAAUGACUGAUUUGUUGCAUCAUGAACUGUUUGUGGACCUCUUUUCCAAGCUUGAGACGGUGCUUCUCCAUUGUACAGUCCAUUGGAUUGAGGUACUGUGGAAACAACUGUUGAAGGUCCUGAUAUAGGUUGGUGACUCUCAGGGGCAGCAGGUUGAGAAGUUGCAGGGAGAAUAGAUGCCAGAGUGGCUAAAAGCUCCGGAGUUAAACUAACCCCAGCUUGAGGCGCUGCAUUAUUAGGUAUUCUGAGAGGCUCACUAACCGAUGGUUUUGAAGCAGCUGUCAGAUGUUCUAGUGCAACCCUAUUGUAAUUUUCCCUAGGAGGAUAUAAACUGUGACUGGCAUUGGCAGGUGAAUCCCGGGCUUGAUCCAUAUAAUGCAGAGGAUUGGACUGAGAUUCUUGUAUGUAUGAUGCUGUAACAGGAACGGCUGGCGGGGGCAACUUGAGAACAACACCAUAUAGCCGUUCUGGACCGGACACUUUGAGUACAUCAGUUAAGAAAUCUGAUGGAGGCACCAAGAAUAAAGUUGUACCAUCAUCUAAUUUGGCAACACCCGCCCGAUCUUUUGAGCUAAGGUAGCGGAGAAAUUCAGUGUAAGACGCAAAAUCUUCUUGCCUGUCUGGUAAGAAGAAAACGAUCUCAAAUCCAAUGGCAUCGGUGUAAUGUUUGGCGAGCAUAUUCAAACCAGUUCUUGCUGAACAAUUGACGACCUCAGGCCUAUAAAUCAAUUAUAAGAAAAAACAAAGUCAGCAAUUGAGGGCAAUGCCAUAAAUGAAUCAGCACCACGAAAAUCAAGACAUAUCAGAAACUAUACAAGUAAUAGUAAAACUAAAAUGUACUAUCUAAAAUAAUGAAUUCUUACUUCCAUCGAGAAUGAAAUGAAAAAUAUAUAAAUCUAUCUGAAAAAGAAAACACUAGAAGGGUUUAAGUGCUUGUAAUUGGUACUCACAGUUUAGUUUCAAUUCCCUUUACCAUAGGUACACAACGAGCACAACAGACAGGAGUUCCACCCUUGGCAAUCAUUCCUCUCCAUAUGUAAUCAGAAUCAGGGGGGCCACGGAUAGGCCUAGCAGCAACUGAAACUCGCCCAAAUGACCUCUCAUCGACACCCAUUGGAGUAAAACCGUCCACUGAUCCAUCUCUUCUGGUUCGUUUACUUUCUCUGUCCAACUGAGCAGGAUCAUAUUCUUCCCAAGAACCGGGGUUUGACCUCAUAGGGUGCCUCAUACCUUGUGCAGGAGAUGGGAGGAUUCCAGGUCCUGUUGGAGAUGGGAGUAUUCCAGUUCCAUUUGCAGAUGGCCUCCUCCAGUUUGGCUCCUUACCAACAACGUCGUUGUAUUCUGAACCAUUAUAUGAACGCUCAUUGCUACCUCUGAGAGGCCUCAUAGACCCAGGAAUUCCAGUAGAAUGAGGAGAAGAUAUAAACGACGGAUCAUUGUUGAACAUAUCUGUCCUUGACCGUUUCAUACCAGAGUAAAAACUGGUAUCGUCUGGCUCAGGAGGUAACUCAUCGUUUGAGUACAUAAUUUUGAUUCUAGGAUUAUUGAAUAACCUCCCCUGUAUCCCUUCCUUGGCAUGGCGAGCUUCCUCCGCGCUCCUAAACUCCACAAGUGAAAAAUGACUUGAUGGGUAACAUUUUAUCCUCUCGAUCUCACCAUAGAGUAUCAUUGCAUUGUGCAGCAUUUGCUCAUCAUUGCAUUGUGUAGCAUUAGGAGGGUACCCAAUCCACAGAACCUUACUUGGCUGGACAUCUCCUUUACCGUCGUCAUAUGAGUGAGGAUGCUGUAAGAAUAUAACAAAACGUCAAAACCAGUAACCUAUAAGUAUCACCAGUAACAAGACACAUACUUUCAACAUUUAAGACUAACCUGCGGUUUAUGAUUCAUAUUGCCAUUCCUGUUAUCAUAAGAGCCAGCCCAUUGUUCCUGAAGAUAAAGCAAAUGUAACUUGAUUUCAGACUUAAAAAGUUGAGUCUACUCUACAAUGGAAUAGAGACGCAGAUAUGAAGAAAAACCAAAUAUUUACUAAAGAAAAAUAUUUACUAGAGCGUUUUGAAAAGUAAAAACCAAAUGCCAGAAGAGUGCUUACUUUUCUUGGCGCUUGUGACCGGAGAAAAUCAACACGCAAAAAGCUACCACCCAUUCGCUUUCCAUUCAUGCUCUUAGCCUGUAAAGCAUCAUCCAUCUCAUAAUAAUCAAUGAAAGCUGUCUUGCGUUCUCUGAGAAACCUAAAAUCCUCGAUUUUCCCAAACUUGCUGAACUCUUCCUCCAGGUCAUCCUUGGAGACACUAGGGCCGAUUCCACCCACCCAAAGACUCUUACAAGGUUUUGCCUGCAACAAGAAAACGUCGAUAAGAAGGCGAUAUAAUACUACCCAGAUAGGUUGACAAGAAUAAAGCUUCAAACAUAUCAAGCAUCAAACAUCAAAGAAACUAAACACAGAAACUAACUAGUAAUUCCAACUACAUUAUGACACCAAUUCAUAUCAAUUGCUAUCCUAAGCAAGCAACACUGCUGCAAGGAAACCAUAUCCUCUUCCUCACUCAAUCAGUUUUAUAUAAAUUCUCUCGACUACACACACAAUUUGUCAGCAGGAGAAGCAUGUCGACCCAAAAACCGGCAAGACAUUAACACUUUCUGCAAAACAUUAUUGUCUUUAUCAUUGCCUGAGUCCCAAAUAAACCAAUCCCUAGACACUCCAUUAAGUACUCAAAGCCGGGAAGACAUUGAAAUUUGAGACUGCCUGCAAAUGAAUCUAUGUCUUGAUCACUGCAGCUAUAACAAUCCAAGAAUGGUUGUGAAGAAGUCAACUCCUUAAGGAACUAAAAUGAGAAAGCCCAGAUUGUACGCAUGGUAAGAUUUGAGGAACGGGCAUGGUUCUUCAACUAGAGCGUUUCACAAAAUCUCUCUUUCACCAUGAGUCUCUCUUCUUUACUACGUUUCUGAUUGGAAGAGUUAGCAGCCACGUAAUUUGUCUUUCUGUAGCAUCGAGCCUAAACAAGCCCCAAACUCCCUCACGCUGAUAUGGAUUUGUGACACCUAUACUAGCAGUAGGAGUUAGGACGAUACUGUUGCCAGAAUUUUCUGUUUCCAAUAUGCAAUUAUUGAUAUCUACGUACCGCCAUAUACAAAUCUCUCCACACGGUUUGAUUAUUGCAGGAAACUGAACUUUAAAACUGCCGAUGAUAGAUUUGCUAGCUUCCAAUUUUUCACCAUUGCGAAUUUGAGUGGUGUACCAAUUCAUUCAUACUCAAGCUUGUGAGAUUUAACCUGAAACCAGACUGCUAAACGCGGAUACAAGUCCGAAGAUAUCGCUAAGGGAAGCAACGAUAAUCGGAUCAACCUUCGCAUAAACGAGAGAAAACAUGUGUUUGAUGUAUUCUUUUGCAGAGCUCAUUCGCUAAGAGUUGUAUGGUCUCUGUGGUUUGGCUUGGCGCGAGUUCGAUAAAACCCAAGUAAUUUGAGAAAUACGUUUCUCUUAUUUAGAUCGGAUCAAGUUUCGCAUAAUAGAAAAAUCUCUAGGUUUCGGCUUUGAUUUGUACGACGAAAAAAAAAAACUCAGUUCAACAAGAAUUUUUUUGUGGACUAAACAAGCAUCAUCAAAGUUAUAUGAACCUGGACUAUGAAUUCGUAAAAAGAGUAUAAUCGUUGACAAAAGACAAUCAAAGUUAGAGGACAAACGAAGAUAUAGAUAAGAACAAACCGGUCGUGCGUAUUCGAUCUUAAUUUGACUUCCAUUCAAAUUUGCUCCUUGAAGAGCCUCUUUCGCUGCCACAGCUUCCUCCACACGUCUGUAGUAUAUAAACGCAAAGCCACGCGAAGAAUACACAGUGAUUCUAUCAAUAUCGCCGUAUCUUCCAAACAACUCGGUCAGAUCUGACUCUGUCGUUUCCGGCGUAAGGCUACCGACCCAAAGAUUGUUUGAUUGGAAACCGGAAUCAUCGGCUCUGAAUGGCUUCAUAGCUAACGCCAUCGGGAUUGUUUCAAUUGACGAGAUCCUAUGGAUCCAAAAUUCGAAUCCCCGAAUUUGAUUGUUUUACCUUUUGGGAUAAUGAGAUUUCGAUAUCCACGAGACGGAAAACGAGAGACGAAUUGUGCGAUGAAGCAAUGAUACCUUGAGCAAGAGAAAUUCAGAGAGAUUUGAGUUUUCAAAAUCCUACCUACAGAGAGGAGAAGAGAACCCUAGAUUGAGUUUGAAGACGAAGAAGAAGAUUAGAUUGUGAGAGAAAGAGAGGCCAGAGGAUAUCGAAGCGGCGGCUUUUAAAGGAUAUAUAGAUACUUUUCCUUUAAUUUAUUUUAUUAUUUUUUCCUUUUUGGGAGUCGGACCGAAACGGUGCGUUUCAAUAGUAGUUGUGGCAAAUUCGUAAAUAAUCGUAAUCAUAUAUAAACCGAAAAUCCAUAACCCCAAGGGCUCUCACUGAAGAUUAGCAUAAUGUUUGUACAUAAGACAUCUAAUAACUGCAAUUAGUCUCUGGGUUUGUAGGUGUUCGUUUAGUAGACUUUGGAAGCUUCACAUGAACAUUGGUUUAGAUGAAGCACCAGAAACAGGUAUCACCAUCCUUUUAAGAACUGUUAAGCAUUCGAUGAAGAUCCGGGCUAGGUGGUAGAGCUCAAGCUCGUAUUGCUCGUAGAUGAAGAAAGCUGUGAAUGAGAACGACAUCACUGUCCAAACAAAGAGUACAGAAAAUGUUAUGGAUACGAAGAUUAAUGGAUGAAGAAGUUUGUAAUUAUGUUUAUCAAGUGUGAAAACAAAAGCUUUGUUCAAGUACCUGUGAAAAGAAAUGCAGCCAAUGAACGGGAUACGAUCAGUUUGAGGAGAUAUAGCGAUCCUGCAAUCUGUUUUUAUGUUUUGUUUUAGGAAACGAGAGAGAUGAGGUAUUUUUCAUGUUUGGUGAGCAUUAGAGAAGUGUAUAAAGAGUAUAAUUGUACCUUGAAGAACUUGAUCCAGUCUCCUCCUAUGCUUAAGGAUUUAAAACCUCGAACUCCCUGAUUCCAUACAACUACGAUAUCUCUACUAAGAUCUCUCACAGCGGAUUCCGAGAUCUCAAAUCUCCAUGGGGGUAUUUUCUUGACUUGAAACCCAAAACUGUCAAAGUAAAUAAAUCUGUCACUUAAUUGCAUAUAGAUUUCAAAAGUGAAACAUAUAUACAUAGAUGCAUCAUGAUUUGCUAGGGCAAUUUUGGUACCACGAAUUAUUUUCACUGUCUUCUAUAAUGGUAAAGUUCUGGAACCAAUACUUACAUCUUUGAAGGUACAAAAGCGACUCCAUAGAGAGCAACAGCAAAUAUAAACAGAAGUUGGGCUGCAGAUGAAGUAAAUGUGUUUCCAGAAAAGAAGAACCAGUAAUAAAACAAGUUGAGGAAAAGGAAAGAAAGGAAGGUUUUCUUCUCAUUUCUCCACAGCAAGAGGUCUGCAACUGCAUGAGAACAUAGAUGAAAAGUUAAGUCAAUUUAAAGAGACUAAAAUUAAACACUUGCAUUGACUAGAUUCGCUUUGAGUUUGUUUAUAUGUGCAUGAAAUAAAGUUGGAACUCGCAUGAAAUCACAUGGUCUGGAAGCAGAUGUAAAUGAACCGAGCAGAUACUUCAGCAAGUUCUAAACAUCUAGAAGCUAAAAAUCUAAGAUAAGAAUAGAGAUAUAUUCUUUCCAGGUUAAGCCUUAUAAACAUGCACCAUCAUAUCCAUAGCUAGAUGAGAUACGGACUUCAAGCAAUAUAACUGAAUACUUAGCCAAUAACACUUCAAAAGGGCAUUAUAAUUGUUAAUAGCGAGAUGGCUCUAACCUUUCCCACAACCAAGAAGCUGAUCUGCAGUAGAUUGAAUGAUUGUGUCAUCGAACUUCUCAAGAUCCCGAGAGAACCAUUGAAGCGUUGAUGCAAUUCCAUCCUACAAAUCCAACAAAAGCUAAUGAAUCCAAGGAUGCUACUAUGCAGCUGAAUUUGCAAAACAAAACAUUAUCAAAUUUAAACUCACUUCAAGUGUCACAACAGGUGUGUAACCAAGAUGCUUCUUAGCUGCAUUGCAGUUAAAAGUUCUCGUCGAUGAAGCUAACAGAGCAUACUGAUGAGCUGUGUCAUAAUUACUCCCAAGGCCCUCCUUUUCAUGUGUCCAUUUAAGAAGUGAGAAAACAAACAAAACCAGCCGAACAGGAAGUUUGAUGGAUGGUCUGCAAUUAAAGAGGAAAAAGAUAUCAAAACAGGUAAACCAGAAAGUUAGCUCUAAGGAUCUAAAACUUUUAAAAAUGAUCAAUAUUAAGGACAUAGGAGAAGGAAACAUAUACGACCAUG
rnacentral:lncRNA from 1 species